AGUUCGGAUUGCAGUCUGCAACUCGACUGCAUGAAGCCGGAAUCGCUAGUAAUCGCGGAUCAGAAUGCCGCGGUGAAUACGUUCCCGGGUCUUGUACACACCGCCCGUCACACCAUGGGAGUCGGAAAUGCCCGAAGCCGGUGGCCUAACCGAUAAGGGAGGAGCCGUCGAAGGCAGGUCUGAUGACUGGGGUGAAGUCGUAACAAGGUAGC
rnacentral:rRNA from 1 species